UAUUUUGGUAUGAUUUAUUACAACUUCUCUAUUAAUACUUUAUUUCUUUUCAAAACAAUUUUUUAAAGCUAAAUUAAAGCAGGAAAAUAUUUUAAAAGUUCAAAUUCAAAAUCAGAAAUAGAAUCGAAAUAUUUUGUAUUGCUUAGAUAUAAUUUAGUUUCCUAAUCGAACAUAUUUGCCCUAAUAAAAAAAAAAAUAUCCG
rnacentral:lncRNA from 1 species